UGGAGGGAAGAGCAUACUUGAGAUUACCCCAAUUUCACACAUGAAAAAGUAAAGGUUAACAAAGGUCAAGCAACUUACCAGGAGCCACACGGGCAGGCUCAAUGGCUGCGCUCAGCUUUUGCUACUGUGAGUUCUGUUUUCUUUUUACUUAACUGUGCUCUCUCAAGAACUGAAAAGAAAGUUCUCCAGAGGGCACUUCCUAAGAACAAUGUGGGACGCACAAGCUAUCAGCCUCCUGGGUGGGUCCCCAGACCUCCUCGCCCCCAGUAACCAGUGCAGCGUAGAGGGAAAAGGGAAGGAGCCCCACGGAGGCCACCUUCUCCCACCGUGGCCCAUGUGCUGAACUCUGUUCCACCCUAAGCCAGAUGCAAGGCUAAGCAGGGUGGGCACAGAGCUGGCCCCUGCUUGAGAGAGCCCAUGCUGUCAUUUUCCCACUUCAAAAACAGAUAAACAGAAUCUUUGUCCCCCGGAAUGAACCAGAAGCCCUGCCCAUUGGAAAGGAUGGUGAGCCAGCCUACAGCCAGCCACCCUCCUGCCACGCCCCCGUCGUCACCAACAGCAUGAAGACCUCAUGGAGCUGGCGGGGGAGGGUGGAGAGCUGAGAACUCUACCUCCCAGCUGCUAUGAUUGAUUUCUGACUCUGUUGACACGGCUUCACCCUCUCUGUGAUCUCUAAGGACAGAGAUGGUGUCCUGGUCAUCUCACUGUCUCCAGAGCGUGCCAGAGAACCCUAUAAGAAACCCACCAUCAAUAAAGAAGUAUUUUAACAAAUGAAUGAGUUUCACGGAGACUUUGCCUCUGAUGUUCGCAAGCCCGAAGAGCUCAAUCUAGAAAAUGACCCUUGCCAAAAACAACAGUCCCAGCUGCCCAGAGGAAGGGACCUUCUGAGCAUGGAGUGCAACUUUUCUGGACCCCUUGUAGGAAUCAACAGUUAACCAAGAGGACAUGUGGGCUCUUCGCAUGCUAGUGGGGUGCGUGCAAGACGGGUCUAUCUUUAGACAGGAGAGAAACAUAAACAGGGUGAGUGUCUCCAUCAUAAAUCACCCACAGCACUUACCCAGAACAACCUCUAAAAGCCAGGGAGGGGGCUCCGCGUCAACAGGAAGGCUCAGAUUGCUGCACAGUGGAGCAGCAGAGAGUGAAAUCCGUCGGGGCUCCAGCCUCCCGCCCUGUGCCAGCGUAUUAUAA
rnacentral:lncRNA from 1 species